GUAGGUGGCAAGCGUUGUCCGGAAUUAUUGGGGCGUAAAGCGCGCGCAGGCGGUUCUUAAGUCUGAUGUGAAAGCCCACGGGCUCAACCGUGGAGGGUCAUUGGAAACUGGAGAACUUGAGUACAGAAGAGGAAAGCGGAAUUCCACGUGUAGCGGUGAAAUGCGUAGAGAUGUGGAGGAACACCAGUGGCGAAGGCGGCUUUCUGGUCUGUAACUGACGCUGAGGCGCGAAAGCGUGGGGAGCAAACAGGAUUAGAUACCCUGGUAGUCCACGCCGUAAACGAUGAGUGCUAAGUGUUAGGGGGUUUCCGCCCCUUAGUGCUGCAGCUAACGCAUUAAGCACUCCGCCUGGGGAGUACGGCCGCAAAGGCUG
rnacentral:rRNA from 1 species